CCUAGUUGAUCCUGUCAGUAGUCAUAUGCUUAUCUCAAAAAUUAAGCCAUGUAUGUGUAAGUAUGAACUAAUUUAGACUGUGAAACUACGAAUGACUCAUUAAAUCUAUUAUAGUUUGUUUGAUCGUAUCUGCUACUCGGGUAACCGUAAUAAUUGUAGAGCUAAUUUGUGCAACAACCCCCAACUUGUAUAAGGGAUGAAUUUAUUAUAUAAAAGGUCAAUGCAGGCUCUACUCAUUGCUAUGAUGAUUCAUGAUAACUUGACGAAUCACACGACCAUCGUGCCGGCGACGUAUCAUUCAAAUUUAUGCCCCAUCAACUUUCGAUGGUAGGAUAGUGGCGUACUAUGUUGUUGAUGGGUGAUGGAGAAUUAGUGUUCGAUUCAAGAGAGGGAACCUGAGAAACGGCUACGACAUCCAAGGAAAAUAGCAGGCGUGCAAAUUACCCAAUCCUGACACGGGGAGAUAGUUACAAUAAAUAACAAUACCAGGCUCUUAUAGUCUAGUAAUUGGAAUGAGUAGAAUCUAAAUCCCUUAACAAGGAUCCAUUGGAGGGAAAGUCUGGUGCCAGCCGCGGUAAUUCCAACUCUAAUAGCGUAUAUUUAAAUUGUUUGAGUUAAAAAGCUCGUAGUGGACCUUAGGUUGGGUCAAUCCAUCCGCCUAUCGUGCGCACCCGGUUGGCUCGUCCCUUCGACGGCGAUGCGCUCUUGGCCUUAACUGGCCAAAUCGUGCCUCUAGUGAUGUUGGUUUGAAGAUAUUAGAGUGCUUAAAGAAAGCCUACGCUCUGUAUACAUUAGCAUGGGAUAACAUCAUAGGAUUUCGAUCCUAUUCUGUUGGCUUUCAGGAUUGAAGUAAUGAUUCAUAGGGAUAGUCUGGGGCAUUUGUAUUUCAUAGUCAGAAGUGAAAUUCUUAGAUUUAUUAAAGAUGAACAACUGUGAAAGCAUUUGUCAAGAAUGUUUUCAUUAAUCAAUAAUGAAAGUUAGGGGCUCGAAGAUGAUCAGAUACCGUCCUAGUCUCAAUCAUAAACGAUACCGACCAGGGAUCAGCGGAUGCUACUUUUAGAACACCGUUGACACUUUAUGAGAAAUCAAAAUCUUUGGCUUCCGGGAGGGGGGUAUGGUCACAAGGAUGGAAACUUAAAGGAAUUUAUGGAAGGGCACCACUAGGAGUGGAGCCUGUGACUUAAUUUCACUGAACAUAGGGAAACUUACCAGGUUUAUACAUAGUAAGGAUUGAUAGAUUGAAAGAUAAUUCUUGAUUCUAUGGGUGGUGGUGCAUGGUUGUUCUUAGUUGGUGAAGUGAUUUGUCUAGUUAAUUUUGUUAAUGAAUGAGACAUCGGCCUACUAACUAGCUAUGCGAAGGUGACCCUCCGCGGCCAGCUUCCUAGAGGACUAUGGCCAUUUAGGCCAAGGAAGUUUGAGGUAUUGACUAUUAUGCCGCUUCUUACCACUAUUGACCUCACCUAAGUCACAUUUCACCAUCACAACUACUAUCGUCGAUUGUCAUCUGCCGCCAACCGCGUCAGCCAAAUGCCACUGAGAAGCAGCAGCCUCGGAUGUGUAGCCAUCUGUUAGGCUGCAUUAUCUCGAAGAGUACUUUUUACAAUGAUUCGAUACCCACCCAUUUCAAAACAAUUACAA
rnacentral:rRNA from 1 species